rnacentral:rRNA from 1 species
GACGAACGCUGGCGGCGUGCUUAACACAUGCAAGUCGAACGGUGAAGCGCCUUCCUUUUUGGUGGUCGUGGAUGAGUGGCGAACGGGUGAGUAACACGUGAGUAACCUGCCCCCUUCUUCUGGAUAACCGCAUGAAAGUGUGGCUAAUACGGGAUAUUCUGGGUCUGUCGCAUGAUGGGUCUGGGAAAGAUAUUGUUUCGGUGGGGCAUGGGCUCGCGGCCUAUCAGCUUGUUGGUGGGGUGAUGGCCUACCAAGGCGGUGACGGGUAGCCGGCCUGGGAGGGUGGACGGUCACACUGGGACUGAGACACGGCGCAGACUCCUACAGGAGGCAGCAGUGGAGAAUAUUGCACAGUGGGCGCAAGCCUGAUGCAGCGACGCCGCGUGAGGGAUGGAGGCCUUCGGGUUGUGAACCUCUUUCGCCAGUGAAGCAGGCCUGCCUCGUUUGUGGGUGGGUUGACGGUAGCUGGAUAAGAAGCGCCGGCUAACUACGUG